UACGUAGGGUGCGAGCGUUGUCCGGAAUUAUUGGGCGUAAAGAGCUUGUAGGCGGUUUGUCGCGUCUGCCGUGAAAAUCCGAGGCUCAACCUCGGACUUGCGGUGGGUGACGGGCAGACUAGAGUGUGGUAGGGGAGACUGGAAUUCCUGGUGUAGCGGUGAAAUGCGCAGAUAUCAGGAGGAACACCGAUGGCGAAGGCAGGUCUCUGGGCCACUACUGACGCUGAGAAGCGAAAGCGUGGGGAGCGAACAGG
rnacentral:rRNA from 1 species